rnacentral:guide_RNA from 1 species
AAAUUACACACACAGAUAUAUGACGUAUAAGAUAUUGAUGUAU